UAGGGAAUCUUCCGCAAUGGACGAAAGUCUGACGGAGCAACGCCGCGUGAGUGAAGAAGGAUUUCGGUUCGUAAAACUCUGUUGUUAGGGAAGAAAAAAUGUAUAGUAACUAUAUACAAAAGAGACGGUACCUAACCAGAAAGCCACGGCUAACUACGUGCCAGCAGCCGCGGUAAUACGUAGGUGGAAAGCGUUGUCCGGAAUUAUUGGGCGUAAAGCGCGCGCAGGUGGUUUAGAAAGUCUGAUGUGAAAGCCCACGGCUCAACCGUGGAAGGUCAUUGGUAACUAAUAAACUUGAGUGCAGGAGAGAAAAGUGGAAUUCCUAGUGUAGCGGUGAAGUGGGUAGAGAUUAGGAGGAACACCGGUGGCGAAAGCGGCUUUUUGGCCUGCAAAUGACACUGAGGCGCGAAAGCGUGGGGAGCAAACAGG
rnacentral:rRNA from 1 species